CAGCCCUUGACAUCCCGGUCGCGGAGAGCAGAGACGCACUCCUUCAGUUCGGCUGGACCGGAGACAGGUGCUGCAUGGCUGUCGUCAGCUCGUGUCGUGAGAUGUUGGGUUAAGUCCCGCAAUGAGCGCAACCCUCGCCCUUAGUUGCCAUCAUUCAGUUGGGCACUCUAAGGGGACUGCCGGUGAUAAGCCGGAGGAAGGUGGGGAUGACGUCAAGUCCUCAUGGCCCUUACGGGCUGGGCUACACACGUGCUACAAUGGCGGUGACAGAGGGAUGCAAAGGGGCGACCCUUCGCAAAUCUCAAAAAGCCGUCUCAGUUCGGAUUGGGGUCUGCAACUCGACCCCAUGAAGUUGGAAUCGCUAGUAAUCGCAGAUCAGCACGCUGCGGUGAAUACGUUCCC
rnacentral:rRNA from 1 species